GUGAAUCAUCAAAUUUUUGAACGCAAAUUGCACUCUCUGCGAAGAGAAUGCGUAUUUGAGGGUGAGCCUAAAAAAUAUCGUCAUAGUUUCUGUUACGCGGUAACAUUUGUCGGUAAUUGGGUAAUCUUAAACAUUUGGGUUUAAGCGGCUUAAUUUUUUGUUUACGAUUCAAAGUUCGUUUCUAAGUUUCUAUCUUCUUAUACGUUUAAGGUAUCGAUCUUUAUUAGACGUGGG
rnacentral:misc_RNA from 1 species